UGAGACACAGGUGAUUUCCUGGUUUGAUGCUGCAGUCCCAAAAGAGUGGGUCAUAUCUCUGCUGUAUCCUCUUCUAGAACUCCAAGCAAUCUUCAUUUCUCUGGUUGUACAUAUUGACGCAAAACCGGCUCAGCAAGGUGAUUUGCAAGCUGCCUGCAGUGCCUCCUGGUGAAAUCAUGUUCAUCUCUGCCUUCAAAGCUGAUCGCCUUCAGGUCAACUUGCAACUGGUUGUCAAUUGCCUAAAACUCCUGGAAAAAAAGUAAAGGAACUGGAUUCUGGUCUGACCUAAUCUGUAUCUACACUAAUCUGGGCAGCUCCUCGCCUCCAGUCAGAGGUGCCUGAGUUGAAGAUGCUAAUGUGUAAAAUUAAAUGUGACUACUCUACCCCAGGUUGUAGUAGAAUAGUACCUGACAGAAAUUGCUAAGAACUAUAAUGUGCCAUGUAAAUCCACAGCAACCAUUACAGUGAAUACUUUCAAGAACAAAGAAUGGACUUAAAGCUGAGAUUUUUAUUGUGCACCAGAAGAUCUGUUUUCUACUUAGGAAUGUGGCUUCCAGAGUAGCUCUGCCAGGAUUGUAAAGCAGGUGACAUUUGCACCUUUUCUCCACCCACAUACUUUUCCUAACAGAGCUUGACUUCUGCUGUCACAUGACCCUUAUAAGUUGGUAACAAUAGGGUAGAAAACAAGGAUGAAGAUACCUUAAGUAUUAUACUUACAAGUGUGUUAAAAACAAACACCCAUGGCACAAAAACAGACACACAGACCAAUGGAAUAGAAUAGAAACCCCAGAACUAGACCCACAAACGUAUGGCCAACUAUUCUUUGACAAAGCAGGAAAG